GAUGAAGAACGCAGUGAAAUGCGAUACGUAAUGUGAAUUGCAGAAUUCAGUGAAUCAUCGAAUCUUUGAACGCAUAUUGCGCUCUCUGGUAUUCCGGAGAGCAUGCUUGUUUGAGUAUCAGUAAACACCUCAACUCCCUUUUCUUUUUUGAAAUUGGAGCUGGACUUGAGUGAUCCCAACGCUUUCUUCCAAGAAAGUGGCGGGUUGCUUGAAAUGCAGGUGCAGCUGAACUUUUCUCUGAGCUAUAAGCAUAUCUAUUUAGUCUGCCUAAAAAACAGAUUAUUACCUUUGCUGCAGCUAACAUAAAGGAGACUAGUUCUUGUGCUGACUGAUGCAGGAUUCACAGAGACAGCUUCGGCUGACUUUGUAAACUCGAUCUCAAAUCAAGUAAGACUACCCGCUGAACUUAAGCAUAUCAUAAGCGGAGGA
rnacentral:misc_RNA from 1 species